GGCGCUGGCUUGUACGGCUACAUCGACAAAACCAUAGAGGAACCUCCUAAGAACAUCGUCGCAAAGGAUAAAGAGGGCAAGGAUCAGGUGCUGUUAAACCCUGCCUACCCCCCAUGGCUGGUCCAGGACCAGCAAAUUGUUGCCUACCUCCUUCGGAACCUCUCCAAGGAGGUCCUCGUUCAAGUGGCGUCGCUGGAGACGUCGCAUGCGAUCUGGACCGCCCUGUCCAACAUGUUCGCGGCGGUCUCGCUCUCUCGAGUCAACAACCUGCGUGCUGCCCUCACCAACGCCCAGAAGGGCACGCAAUCUGCAUCAACCUACUUCGGCUACAUGCGG
rnacentral:rRNA from 1 species